AAAAUAAAGCCUAGUGGACAUGGCAUCUGCCCGGUAAGCGGAACAUUGUGGGUUCGAUUCCCAUCCCUUGACACUUUUAUUUUU
rnacentral:tRNA from 1 species